rnacentral:antisense_RNA from 1 species
GACUUCACUCUGGGGUUGCUUGCUGGCUGAAAGGAAGGAGAAUCAAAUUUGGAAAUAUCUGAAAGGAAAUCCAGAUAUAGGCUAUUAAUAGACGAGAGGUGAAGCUAGGCUAUAUCAGCUGCUGAGGUACUACCAAUUAUACUUAGAUUAAGGAGAGGAUUUUAAAUAAGAGCAUGAACCUAAGGCCAUGAGAGUGGGAGGAAUAACGAGCUUUCAAAACUUCUAAUUUUCAGAGGCCAAGGCCUCAACCAUGGCUUAUGUAUAACAAAGCUGAUUUUACAUAAUAAGAGAAAUAAAAAUUUAUUUUCAGGAAAGUUUAGGAAACUAAGAAAAAAAUAAGGUUAAUUGUGUUUGAGGGAGUAUCUUAAAGUUUCAAUAGUGCCAUAAGAGGAAAAAAAAAGAAGCAUAUGGAAUAAUGAAAUUGUGAAGACUCUCUGGCUUAGGAGGCAUCCAUCGUUUACUGCUGCCCAAACUUCUCUACCAGGCAUUUAAAAUCUUCCAUUCGCAGGUAAUUAUCCAGUUGAUAUUUAUCUUGUUCCAGUCACCUUAAGAAAGCUGUUUGGCAAGGGCAGUGACUGGAAGCUGGGAGAGAGGGUCAACAGCUGAAUCUCAGCCUGAUGGAGGCCACCAUUUAAU